AUUGAACGCUGGCGGCAUGCCUAACACAUGCAAGUCGAACGGGGGUAGCAAUACCCUAGUGGCGGACGGGUGAGGAAUACGUAGGAAUUUGCCCUUAAGUGGGGGAUAACCCGGGGAAACCCGGACUAAUACCGCAUGAUCUCGUGAGAGCAAAGCAGGGGACCGCAAGGCCUUGCGCUUUUGGAGAAGCCUACGUCGGAUUAGCUAGUUGGUGGGGUAAUGGCCCACCAAGGAGACGAUCCGUAACUGGUCGGAGAGGAUGAUCAGUCACACCGGAACUGAGACACGGUCCGGACUCCUACGGGAGGCAGCAGUGGGGAAUAUUGGACAAUGGGCGAAAGCCUGAUCCAGCAAUGCCGCGUGUGUGAAGAAGGCCUUCGGGUUGUAAAGCACUUUAGGCUGGAAAGAAAAAGCUUUGGCUAAUAUCCAAAGCCUUGACGGUACCAGCAGAAUAAGCACCGGCUAACUCUGUGCCAGCCGCCGCCGUAAGAC
rnacentral:rRNA from 1 species